GAAACCCCAAAAUGGAGGACUUUACUACCAGGACCUAUGGCACCAGUGGCCUGGACAACAGACCUCUAUUCGGGGAGACGUCUGCCAAGGAUCAAAUCAUCAAUUUAGUUGUUGGCAGUUUAACAUCCUUACUGAUUCUAGUAACGCUGAUCAGUGCUUUUGUUUUCCCUCAACUACCUCCGAAACCGCUGAAUAUAUUUUUUGCUGUCUGCAUCUCUUUGAGUAGCAUUACUGCCUGCAUACUUAUCUACUGGUAUCGACAAGGAGACUUAGAACCGAAGUUUAGAAAGCUAAUUUACUAUAUCAUAUUUUCUAUCAUCAUGUUGUGUAUAUGUGCAAACCUGUACUUCCAUGAUGUGGGAAGGUGAGGCUACCAAGGGGAAGUACUUACCAGGGCUCUUCAAAAUGAUACAUUAGGACAGUGAGUAAUUUUUGGAUAAGGUUAUGCUGAAGAAUCUCCUGCAGAAGUCUGAUACAUGAUUUUCAUGUUAAUUGUAAAUGUAAAAUUCCCUCUUGCAAGGGAGACAUAUCUUAGAUCACUUUGCUUUUUAAAGAGCUGACGUUGCACCUAAACAUUCCAACCCUUAAAGCUCAAACAGCACAAGAAAUUUUCACUUUAGAAAUGAACAUUUUUAUAAUGUGAUUGCAUGGCAAAAGCCUAUGCAACAAACAAAAUCUUGUGUUUUAAGACAAAUAUUCUUUUAUUUUGUUAAACUGAAUAUACGAUUGUUCCCUAGGCAACCAACUUUUGCUUUAUAACUACAAUUUAAUUUCACGUUAACAAAACAGUCAAAAGACAACCUUGUGAAGAUCUAAUUACAAUAAUAAAUAAAAUAAUUUAUAC